rnacentral:rRNA from 1 species
AAUAAUUUAAAGUCUGACCUGCCCACUGAAUUGAAAAAAUUUGAAGGGCCGCGGUAUUUUGACCGUGCAAAGGUAGCAUAAUCAUUAGUCUUUUAAUUGGAGGCUGGAAUGAAUGGUUGGACGAGGUAUUGACUGUCUCAAUGUAAAUGAAAAUAGAAUUUAUCUUUUAAGUCAAAAGACUUAAAUAGUAUUAGAGGACGAGAAGACCCUAUAGAGCUUUAUAUUUAAAGAUUAUUAUUUAUUUGGACGUAUUUUUAUAAUAGUGAUAUAAAUAUUUUGUUGGGGUGACAGGAAGAUAUAAUAAACUCUUUUUAGUUUAAUUACAUUUAUUUAUGAAUUGAUGAUCCAUUAUUAGUGAUUACAAGACUAAGUUACCUUAGGGAUAACAGCGUAAUCUUUUUCGAGAGUUCUUAUCGACAAAAAGGGUUGCGACCUCGAUGUUGGAUUAAGGGUAAUUUUGGGUGUAGAUGUUCAAAGUUUAGGUCUGUUCGA